rnacentral:lncRNA from 1 species
GGCCUCUAGGGUGGCAAGGAGCCCAGCUGUGGAAAGACACAAAGAAGCAUCACAGUGUGAGGAGCCAGUGAGUGACCCGCUCUCAGCCCUAGAGGAGGAGGUUUCCUAACCAUAAAAAGAGACCAAAGGAAGAGCCAAGCACCACCCCUGUGGCCUCCAAUGCUUUGCAUGUACAUAAAAGGUCUUCCCAAAAUGCAGGAUUGCAGAAGGUUUGACUGAAUCACACUGAGUUGGCAGAAUGACAGGACUUAUUCAACCCACAAUAGUGUCUCUUUCCAGCUAGUUAUGGUGUUCAAUCAAACAGUCAACACUGAUGAAGAGAGGACGAGGUGCCGAGAAUUCUGCUACACCUAUCAGCAUAGUGCAUUGCUGAACCGUCUGCCUCAUACUGGGAAAGCAGACAUCACCUCGGCCUUAUUAAGAUCGCUAAACAGUGGAGAUAAACAUUUCACAUUUAACAUAUAAGAGGUUAGACAUCCUCUUCUUGGUGAUAUUAUCCUAUUCUUUAAGGAAGGAAAUAAGCACUUAUUAAGUGUCUUUGGCAUGCCAGGCACCGUGCUAAGAGCAUUAAAAAAAUAUAUUUCAUUCAAUAUUCCCAGUGACCUGAGGAGGUAAGUGUUAUUAUUAUUCCCACUUUACAGAUGAGGAAACAGGCAAAUGGCAGUUAAGUGAUUUGCCCCUGGUUACUCAACUAGUAAACAUUUGAGGCUGGAUUUAAACUUGGGUCUUCCUGAACCCAUACUCUUGUGUUAAAACAAAAGAUGCUGCAAGAAUACCCAUAUUUGAGUGAAUGUUUGUUGAGGUUUGAACAUCAUCUGUCCUCUCCACUGGUGAACACAAAAUUUAUGAUUUCUAGCUUACACAUUAGGCAACAGAAACAGAACUUGGUCAGACAAGUGCAAGUAUUACUCCAUUGGAAGUGACUGGAUAUUUUCUUCAUCACCAAGAUUCAGGGAAGGUUUUGAGGAUACCAUUCUGGUUGGGGUGGGGACAGGUCUCUUUUGUAUGGGAUUUCUUUUGCAGGUGAGUAACUCCUUUGUAACAUUAGACCUUAUGAAUAUCUGAGGUGGGAUCUAGACUCAUUUCUUAAACCCCAAGUUUAGGGGUCCUAUCCAUUGCAUACACCACACUGCUCCUCUUUUUUCACCCAUGGCACAUUUUUCUAAUCAGCUUUUUUGGCAUUGGUUUUGAUUCCCCUCCAUAGCCUAGGAAGUUGUUCUUCCCAAGUUUAUUCAUACUUGAUUGAUACAUUAUUGUUUCAUUUGUUUCUAGGAACUUUAUCCUUUUAGUAAACUGAAACACAGAAAAGUGUUCCUUAACCCCUUUUCCUUUUCUUUAGACAAACUAUCCAGUUUUAUUUGGCAUAGAAUUAUUCUGUGAAUUCCUUCCCUCCUCACCUCCAGUAAGAAGACAAGUGUAGUAUAAAUCUUGCUGGUAACUGAAAUAGAUCCUUUAGAUCCUGUCU